GCUACUUACUUUUUGAGGAAGGAAGACAAAGCUCUGACGAACUCCUGCUGGUUGACGUCCUUAACCGUGACACUGGGCAUCUGAAACAUCCCAAAAUACAAUUAUGAUACUGAAGUUAAGCUCCGGAGGAAGAUGCUGACUGUUGUCGAGACAGCAGAACUCCUCCACAUGCGAAAAGAAGGGGGAGAGCCUGUCUCGUCCUGUCAUAAAACUCUCAUCACACCAACAGAGGACAAAGAUGAAGCGAUCAAGGCUCAUGAAACUGCAUUAACUGAUGUUCUGAAGUGGCAGCUCACUUCGAAGAUUCCAUGAUAAAUCGUCAGCAGAGAACCAGACAGCGUGGUCUCCAGAAGAAGGCAGGAACAACGAGGAAAAAUAAGAGGCUUGAGGGCUUCAUCAUCACUUGGGCGUGAAGGCGUUUGUGUCAUCUCACCUCCUCAUUGGCUAACCGCAGGAGUGAUAGACAGACUCAUGUCCACAGAUGGAAGUAGUGAUGAGCAGAGAUGAAAAGAGGUGAAGAGGAGAGUGGAGGAGAAUGAAGGUAGGGUAGAGUUGGAGGAGACGACUCUCAGAUCUGAUCUGUGACAGAUUAGUGGGUGUUAUAGGGAAAGGGACUAUAAUGAGACCUGCCAUGAUGUAUGGUUUAGAGACAGUAGCUCUAGUACAGUGUCGCUGGAGUUGAAGCUGUAGAGGUUUAUGUUGGAAGUUCCUUAGAAGAGCUUGAUUAGAAAACAGCACAUUAGAGGGACACUAGAUGUAGAAAGGUUUGGAUACAAUGUUAGGGAGGCUGGAUUCAGGUGGACUGAACACCAGGAGAGUACAGACACGCAAUGUAUUGAACCUGAUAAUGUUAGACAUUGAAGUAUCAGACAAAAGAAUAAAAGGAAGACAGCCACAGCUACAGAGGUUUGUGUAUGUGAUGUGAGGUUUGAGGUAACGAGGUUGUGGAGCAUUACCAGUUGAAUCUGGUAAUGCUCCACCUCCACGCACAGCUUGGGUUCUGGAACUCAGCUCCUUGAUAGGGGCUGGACUCUUGCCUUCUCUGGUGCUGCUCGAAGUGUAAUACGCCAGGCGGGCGUCGGGAUACUCACAAGCCCCUGGCUGAGCGUCUGUGUGUUGGAGUUCUUUCAGGUGGGCCAGAGGGUUGCCUCUCUGCGGCUUAGGCUUAAGGAGCCAAACCUGACUGCUGUUUGUGAGAGUAUUCAACCUUCUUGGAGGCCCUUGGUGGGGUCUUGUGUGGGGCCACGCUGGGGUAUUCCAUUGUCCUCCUGGGAGACUUCAACGCACAUGUGGGCAACGACGGAGAAACUUGGAGAGGCUUGAUUGCGAAGAACUGUCUGCCUGAUCGGAACCCGAAUGGCUGUUUGUUGUUGGACU